AUUGAACGCUGGCGGCAGGCCUAACACAUGCAAGUCGAACGAGUGGCGGACGGGUGAGUAAUUUCUGGGACACUGCCUGAUGGAGGGGGAUAACUACUGGAAACGGUAGCUAAUACCGCAUACCAUCGGAUGUGCCCAGAUGGGAUUAGCUAGUAGGUGGGGUAAAGGCUCACCUAGGCGACGAUCCCUAGCUGGUCUGAGAGGAUGACGAGCCAAACUGGAACUUAGACACGGUCCGGACUCCUACGGGAGGAAGCAGUGGGGAAGAAUGCACAAGGGGCGCAAGCCUGAUGCAGACAUGCCGCGUGUAUGAAGAAGGCCUUCGGGUUGUAAAGUACUUUCAGCGGGGAGGCGUUACCCGAAGAAGAAGCACCGGCUAACUCCGUGCCAGCAGCCGCGGUAAUAC
rnacentral:rRNA from 1 species